ensembl:lncRNA
AUAAUAUAUAAUUUUUUAAAAUAUGUUUUCUAUAAUUUAAUCUAGUAGUUUUAAUGUAAUUACUAUGUUUUAUAUAUUACAGUAAAAUUAAAUAUAUACAUUUUAUUAGAAAAAAUAUAUAUAUUACACACACACACACACACACACACACACACACACACACACACACACACACACACACACACACACACACACAUUAUUUAUUACAUUAAAUUGUAACAUUUGUCAAGAUUAUGAGGUUAUUUUAUUUUAUUUUAACUUCUUUUUCUCCAGAAUUAUGACUGUAAUAAUACAUAAUUUUAAUUAGCUAUAUGAUAACUAUGACUUUUUAUCACAUCAUUUCACUUUUUUUUUUUUUUGUUAAAUUUAUGACUUAGUGUCUGAAAAGUUUGACAAUAUUUUUAAUUCACACCAAAGUGGCCUAAGGUUUUUUUUUUUUAUUAUUACUCAUUUUUUUUUUUUUUUUUUUUUUUUUUAGUAUAUAUAUAUAAACUGAGCUCCAGUCUCCUUACGCUUUUAAUGCUUGACAAGCUGACAGCAGCUUUAAUUUUUGCCUUUUUGUUUUCCACAGAAAAACACAGUCAUGCGGGUUUGGAACGAGACAAGGGUGAGAAACUGUACAUGAACAAUACACCCAUAAACAAACAUGGUAAAGCUGGACGGAAAGUAUUGAACCAGUACAAACACAUUGUGACAGCGCAGGAAAUAUUAACGCUCGCAGUUCUCUUCGUUUUGUCUGGAGGAUCCUCAACAUCGCUCAGGAGAGAUUACUCAAUCUCAAAUGUGAAAUACCGUUUCUCAGUUACACAGAUCCGUUUGCAUUUCCCGGAUACAGACUCGUCUUUACGUUCACUUUUCCUCUGGAUCGUGUGCCAUGAGUCCCUGGCAGAGGCUUCAAAGCUAACGCUAAUACUAUUACUAGCUCAGUAAUGUGUAGGCCUACGUCUUAAAGUUAAAGCGGUGCAGUUCAGAUAUGAAGACCACGCUGAGCGAAACGUCUCAGUUAUGCUCGGCGGCGUCUCAAGUUAACCGACCGAGUUUAACAUGCCUUCUCAAGGGAAAGGUCGAGUCUUAAGCACGUCUAUUAAUACACACACAUUUAAAGACGGUCACACAUGCACAACGAUGAAACCCAGAGAGAGAACAGCUGUUAGCUUUAGCUGCUGAUCUCAGACCCUAAUCAUGACACCAAAUACACACAUAUUUCUCAGUGUUUUUCAAGCUGUUGCUGACUUCAAGUCUUCCGGAUAAAAUGGAUUUAUUGGUCAAUUUCAUGAGUAUCAUCACUUUUUGCAUUUCAGACAAAGACAGGACACUUUUUAGCACUAAUACAACAAAAUGACCAGUAAAUGAGGUGCGUUAGGGGAAGUAAUUGAUGAUUUAUGUUAUUCUGUCAUUGUUGUGCUGCCGCAGAGGAUGAUGGGAAAUGUAGUUGUCACUGAGGCCUGUGUUAUCAUCAUCACUAUCCUUCAUCAGCAAUCAUUUGGAUAAAGCUAAAUUACAAAAUUAAAACUUAAUAUAUAAAACUCAGAAUAUAGACUAGACAAUACUAUAAAUUAAGUGGAGGAAUUAUUAAUUAAAAAUUAUUUUUACAAAAUAAAUAAAAAUAAGUAUAAUUAAGAUUAUUGGAG